AAGAAGAAAUGAUUUGAGACAGCUUCAAAAUUGCUGCUAUCCUCCUCCCUCUCUCUCCCUCCCUCUCCCUCUCCCUCUCCCUCUCCCUCUCCCUCUCUCUCUCUCUCUCUCUCUCUCUCUCUCUCUCUCUCUCUCUCUCUCUCUCUCUCUCUCUUCUCUCUCCCGAUUUCCCUUUUUAUGUUUGGGUUCAGUCUUGUGGGUUUCAAGUUUUGACUUUGGCUGGAAAGAAAGGUAUUAGCUUGGAAAGAACCACCUCCUCCUAAAACUUCCUCCUGUGUUCUUGGUUAUCCUUCCUCUACAGUCAGAAGAGAAAGAAAAGAACAGACUGCUUAGGGUAUCCUGCCAAGUGUUGAGCACAUUCCCCAAGGCAAGUAGCCAUGAUAAAAAUCUUCCCUUCUGUGGAAAUUUUUGUAAAGCACCUCAAGGUUAUAGAUCCCAGAUAAACAUGGACUCUAAGCAUCCCAAAUAAACUUGGAGAAUCCAG
rnacentral:lncRNA from 11 species